rnacentral:rRNA from 1 species
UGGGGAAUAUUGGACAAUGAGCGCAAGCCUGAUCCAGCCAUGCCGCGUGAGUGAUGAAGGCCCUAGGGUUGUAAAGCUCUUUCACCGGUGAAGAUAAUGACGGUAACCGGAGAAGAAGCCCCGGCUAACUUCGUGCCAGCAGCCGCGGUAAUACGAAGGGGGCUAGCGUUGUUCGGAUUUACUGGGCGUAAAGCGCACGUAGGCGGACUUUUAAGUCAGGGGUGAAAUCCCGGGGCUCAACCCCGGAACUGCCUUUGAUACUGGAAGUCUUGAGUAUGGUAGAGGUGAGUGGAAUUCCGAGUGUAGAGGUGAAAUUCGUAGAUAUUCGGAGGAACACCAGUGGCGAAGGCGGCUCACUGGACCAUUACUGACGCUGAGGUGCGAAAGCGUGGGGAGCAAACAGG